UGUGUGGCACAGUAAGACGACAUGUCGCGCGCAAGACCCAGGUCCGUAGGUCAAAGGUCCUAAACUCUAACAUUGGCCAUAACUAUUCAUUCAAAGUGCCAUCGGGGGUGUGUGUCAUCCUAUGGAGACAGCUCUUGUUUCUGCCUAAUACCCACCAGAAAGAAUUUAUCAAAAUUGAAUCAGCUUCUCUCCCUCAGCUUUUUUCAUGGCAUUUUAUAUUUUUUGGACAUGCCAGCUUUUAAAAUAAAAGCUAGGCAGCUUUAGAAGAAGUGUACAUUUCUUUAGAUGUUAAUUUUUCUGUUUAUUAAGCACAUGAUAUCCACAGUUAUAAGUUCCCUGUCAUGGUUUUGUAAACAGUUCAUUGCCACACUUGAAAAAUAAUCUGUAAGAAAUUACAUAUGUUUUGUCACUAGUGCCUGCUGUUCAGUUUGUUGUUUGUCAAGUUUUUUUGUCUCUGCAAUUUUCACCCUACACUUUUCCCUCCAUUCAGCCUCAGUCCUUUUCAAAGUUUCUGAACAUCACCAGUAACCUGAAAAGUGUUUUGGUAGAUCUUUCUUUGAAACACUUGCUACAUGAAUAACAUUGGGUUUCACAUCUUCUCUUAUAUAAACAAACAUAUUCUCCGGGAAGUAAUUUAUCAUGUUGUCUUUUCUUGUACCAAAUUGUACUCCGUGAGAGGCCUUGUGUCUAGAGGAUUUGAAGUAUUUGGACAGUAUGAAGAAGGCUGAGGCUGAAUGAAUACAGGAGGCGGCUUGGUAAAUGAUGUUACUAAGUGGCUUCUCACUCUGCCUGUUCCUGCAGUAAUUGGAGGCAGACAAAACUCAUGUUUGUGGCCUGGUGGAACAGGCGCUUGCUGUAUUGAUGGCAAUUUUUCACAGACUGGCGGCAGUGACCUUGUGGCAGUCAUAGAUGGCUGUGGCAGAAGGAUGCCUUGUUCCAGGAUCUGUAUGCCUUGAACAUCAGUUCUUUUUUUCUUUAGCACACCUGUCACUUCGUGACAAGGUGAGCUAUUGUGACCGCUUGAUGUCCGUAGUGCGUCGUGCGUCGUCCAUCCACAAUUUCUAAAAAAAAUCUUCUUCUUGAAAACCACUGGGCAGAAUUACACCAAACUUUACAGGAAUGAUCCGUGGGUGGCCCCCUUUCAAAAUUGUUCAAAGAAUUGAAUUCCAUGGAGAACUCUGGUUGCCAUGGCAACCGAAAGGAAAAACUUUAAAAAUCUUCUUGUCCAAAACCACAGGGCCUAGGGCUUUGAUAUCUGGUGUGUAGCAUCAUCUAGUGGUCCUCUACCAAGAUUGUUCAAAUUAUCCCCCUAGGGUCAAAUAUGGCCCUGCCCCUGGGGUCACAUGGUUUAUAUAGACUUAUAUAGGGAAAACUUUGAAAAUCUUCUUGUACAAAACCACAUGGCCUAAGGCUUUGAUAUUUGAUAUGUAGCAUCAUCUAGUGGUCCUCUACCCAGACUGUUCAAAUUAUCCCCCUAGGGUCAAAUAUGGCCCCGCCCCGGGGGUCACAUGGUUUAUAUAGACUUAUAUAGGGAAAACUUUGAAAAUCUUCUUGUACAAAACCACAUGGCCUAGGGCUUUGAUAUUUGGUAUGUAACAUCAUCUAGUGGUUCUCUACCAAGAUUGUUCAAAUUAUCCCCCUAGGGUCAAAUUUGGCCCUGCCUGGGGGUCCCAAGUUUUACAUAGACUUAUAUAGGAAAAAAAGUUUAAAAAUCUUCUUGUCUGAAACCACAACACUUAGACCUUUGAUAUUUGGUUUGUAGCAUUGUCUUAUAGUCCUCAACCAAAAUUGUUCAAAUUAUACCUAUUGGGUGAAAAGAGGCCCCGCCCUGGGGGUCCCUAGUUUUAUAUAGACUUAUAUAAGAAAAAGCUUUAAAAAUCUUCUUGUCUGAAACCAUACAACAUAGGCUUUUGAUAUUUGGUAUGAUGCAUUGUCUAGUAGUCCUCUACCAAAAUUGUUCAAAUUAUUCCCCUGGGGUUAAAAGAGGCCUUGCCCUGGGGUCACUUAGUUAUUAUGUGAGUUAUAUAGGAAAAAUGCUUAAAAAAUAAUCUGAUCCUAUUUCCAAGACUGUUUAAUUAUAAUUACCUGAUGUCCCCAAGUAAUAUGAUGUCACUUGACUGUGACAUUGACCUACUGACAUACUUUCUUGUUUUUUAAGAUGCAGCCUUGAAAUUUUGAUGACAUACACAGUUUGCACAUAAAUCGUAAAACUGAAUUUCAUUGACCAUGAAUGUGACCUACUGACUUUCUUAAUAUUUUAUCAUCAGUUUGACAUUUGAAACAUGUAGCUCAUAUUACUCAGAUGAGCAGUCCAGGCCGAUACCAACUUUUUAGCUCACCUGAGGACAAAUUGCUCAUAGUGAUCUAUUGUGAUCACGCUGUGUCUGUCAUCCAUCGAGCUUCUGUCCGUCAAGUCGUCCGUCCAUUUUUAACAAUUGUGUUUAAAAGUCAUCUCCUCCAAAACCAUUGAAUGGAUUUUGAUGAAACUUCGCCAUGAUAUACCUUGGGUGGUUCUCUACCAAAGUUUUUCAAAUGGUUCCGCUUGGUUGCACAUAGGGGCUGCCAGAGCGAAAAAUAGAAAUAACUUCAAACAAUAUCUCCUCCUAAAUUGAUGGUCUGAAUUUGAAAUCAUCUUCAUUCAAAUGGUCCUUAUAUCACCCUCUACCAAGACUGUUCAGAUUAUACUGACUCGUCAAAAAAUAUGGCUUCCAGGGGGCAUGGUCACUUUUCCCUAUAUGUACAUAGUGGAAACUUUAAAAAUCUUCUUAUGUGAAACUGCUAGACGGAUUUUAAAAUAGUUUCACACAAAUUGACCUUGUAUGACCCUCUACCAAGAUUUUCAAAUUAUUCUGAUUUGUCAAAGAACAUGGCCACCAGGGGGUGUGGUCACUUUUCCCUAUAUGUACAUAGUGGAAAUUUAAAACAUCUUUUUGUGUGAAAUUUAAAACAUCUUCUUGUGUGAAACUGCUGCCCCGAUUUUAAUUUUACAGAAAUGGUUCUUGUGUGACCCUCUACCAAGAUUUUUCAAAUUAUUUUGAUUCAUCAAAAAACAUGGCUGCCAGAGGGCAUAAUUAUAAAAGAAAAUUUAAAAAUCUUUUAUGAAGCUCGUGGCCCAAUUUUAAAAUAAUUUAACACAAAUUGUCCUUGUGUGACCCUCUACCAAGACUGUUCAAAUUUUUCCAAUUUGUCAAAAAACGUGGCCGCGAGGGGUGUGUGCUCACUUUCCCCAGUUCGUAUGUAGUGGAAAUUUUAAAAAUCUUCUCAUGAAACUCAUGGCUCAAUUUUAAAAUAAUUUUACACAAAUGGUCCUUGUGUGACGCUUUACCAAGAUUGUUCAAAUUAUUCCGAUUCGUCAAAAAGCAUGGUUGAAAGGAGGCAUGGUCACUUUUCCCUAUAUGUAUAUAGUAAAAACUUAGAAAAUCUUCUUGUAUUAAACUGUUAGCACAAUUUUUAAAAAAAUUCACACAAAUGGUCCUUGUGUGAUCUACAAUAUUGUUCAAUUUUUGUUGUUUUUUUUUCUUUAAAAAAACAUGGCCACCAGAGGGCGUGGUCACUUUUCUUAAACAAUUUCUUCAAACAACAUCUCCAAAACAACUGAAUGGAUUUUGAUGAAACUUUACAGAAAUGAUCUCUGGGUAGCCUUCUUUCAAAGUUGUACAAAUGGUUCUGGUUCAUUAUGGGUCUUUUUGGUUAGAAAUAGGUUUUCAGCUAUCAGACUUUAAAAAUCUUUUUUUCUCUAGAGCAUUGAUAUUUGGCAUGUGAUAUAAGGGUGUGACUCUCUACCAUAAUUGUCCAAAUUAUUGCCCUAAGGUGAAAAAUGGCCAUGCUCCUGUGUGUGAUAUGUACUUACUACCAGCUUAUAAAUAUAAGGAACUUUGAAAAUCUUCUUCUCUGAAUCAGCAGUAUUUAGAGCCUUGAUAUUUGGCAUGUGAUAUCAGUACAGUCUACCAUGAUUGUUCAAAUUAUUGCCCUCAGUUUAAAAAUGUAUGUGACAUGGAUACAAUAUAGGCUAACAUAGAAGAAACCUUAAACUUUGUACUUGUAUCAUUACGUUACACAAGCACACUUGAAGCCUGGUACACAGGUGAGCGCUUUAGGGUCAGUGACCCUCUUGUUUGUAAUCUUUUCCGUUUGCAGGAGAAUCCAAUGACUUCGCAGUUUGUCAGUGUCCCGUCCUUCUUUUUAGAAAUCAUUCGGUCAAACGGUCGCACUCCAUCUACAAAUUGUGAAGAUAGUCGUUCAGUAUCCAUUUCUGCUGUCAUUAAACCCGAGCGACUCAUUUUCUUUUCUUAUGCCGGAAUAAGCAAAAAUGAAUGAUUUUUUAUAAGAAAAUAAUAUAAUCAAAUAAAAAAAAAAAUAUUUUUCCAACACCAGGUACCACUUUUUAACCACCGCUGUGUCUAAUUUGCAGACGAUAAGGAAUCCAUUAUCUACCUUACUUUUCCUCGAAACAUAUCAAAGCAUAUUGUUUUUGCUUUGCUGAAAACACAUUUGCUGGCUGAUUUAAAGCUGAUAUCAACUUUUUAGCUCACCUGAGCAUAAAGUGCUCAUGGUGAGCUAUUGUGAUCAUGCUGUGUCCCUCGUCCCUUAUGCUUCCGUCUGUCAAGUCGUCUGUCUGUCGUUAACGAUUGUGUUUAAACGACAUCUCCUCCAAAACCAUUGAAUGGAUUUUGAUGAAACUUUGCCAUGGAAUUCCUUGGGUGGUUCUCUACCAAAGUUUUUCAAAUGGUUCCGCUUGGUUGCACAUAGGGGCUGCCAGAGCGAAAGAUAGAAAUAACUUCAAACGAUAUCUCCUCCUAAAUCGAUGGUCUGAUUUUGAAAUAAUUUUAUUCAAAUGGUCCUUAUGUCACCCUCUACCAAGACUGUUCAGAUUUUUCCAAUUUGUCAAAAACAUGGCCGCCAGGGGUGUGUGCUAACUUUCCCCAGUUCGUAUAUAGUGGAAAUUUUUAAAAUCUUCUCUGACUCGUCAAAAAAUAUGGCUGCCAGGGGUCAUGGUCACUUUUCCCUAUAUGUACUUAGUGGAAACUUUAAAAAUCUUCUUGUGUGAAACUGCUAGACGGAUUUUAAAAUAGUUUCACACAAACAGUCCUAGUAUGACCCUCUACCAAGAUUUUCAAAUUAUUCUGAUUUGUCAAAGAACAUGGCCACCAGGGGGUGUGGUCACUUUUCCCUAUAUGUACAUAGUGGAGAUUUAAAACAUCUUUUUGUGUGAAAUUUAAAACAUCUUCUUGUGUGAAACUGCUGCCCCUAUUUUAAUUUUACAGAAAUGCUUCUUGUGUGACUCUCUACCAAAAUUGUUCAAAUUAUUUUGAUUCGUCAAAAAACAUGGCUGCCAGAGGGCGUAUAUAAAAGAAAAUUUAAAAAUCUUGUAUGAAACUCGUGACCCGAUUUUAAAAUAAUUUAACACAAAUGGUCCUUAUGUGACCCUCUACCAAGACUCUUCAAAUUUUUCCAGUUUGUCAAAAAACAUUGCCGCCAGGGGGGUGUGCUCACUUUCCCAAGUUCGUAUAUAGUGGAAAUUUUAAAAAUCUUCUCGUGUGAAACUCAUGGCCCAAUUUUAAAAUAAUUUUACACAAAUGGUCCUUGUGUGACCCUCUACCAAGAUUAUUCGAAUUAUUUUGAUUUAUCAAAAAAUGUGGCCACCAGAGGGCAUGGUUACUUUUCUCUGUAUGUAUAUAGUGGAAACAUUAAAAAUCUUCUUGUGUGAAUAUGCUAGCCUGAUUUUAAAAUAAUUUUACACAAAUGGUCCUUGUGUGACGCUUUACCAAGAUUGUUCAAAUUAUUCCGAUUCGUCAAAAAACGUGGUUGCAAGGAGGCAUGGUCACUUUUCCCAAUAUAUAUAUAGUAAAAUCUUCUUGUAUUAAACUGUUAGCACAAUUUUAAAAUGAUUUCACACAAAUGGUCCUUGUGUGAUCUACAAUAUUGUUCAGUUUUUGUUUAUUCUUUAAAAAACAUGGCCACCAGAGGGCGUAGUCACUUUCCUUCAACAAUUUCUUUAAACAACAUCUCCAAAACAACUGAAUGGAUUUUGAUGAAACUUUACAGAAAUGAUCUCUGGGUAGCCUUCUUUCAAAGUUGUACAAAUGGUUCUGGUUCAUUGAACAUAUGUGUCUUUUUGGUUAGAAAUGCGUUUUCAGCUAUCAGACUUUUUCUCUAGAGCAUUAAUUAAUUGAUAUUUGGCAUGUGAUAUAAGGGUGUGACUCUCUACUUUGUACUUGUAUCAUUACGUUACACAAGCACACUUGAAGCCUUGUACACAGGUGAGCGCUUUAGGGUCAAUGACUCUCUUGUUUGUAAUCUUUUCCAUUUGGAGGAGAAUCCAAUGACUUCGCAGUUUGUCAGUGUCCCCUCCUCCUUUUUAGAAAUCAUUCGGUCAAAAGUUCGCACUCCGUCAACAAAUUGUGGAGAUAGUCAUUCAGUAUCCAUUUCUGCUGUCAUUAAACCCGAGUGACUCAUUUUCUUGUCUUAUGCCGGAAUAAGCAAAAAUGAAUGAUUUUUGUCGUUUAAAAGGAAGCAGCAUUCAAAAUACGUCUAAUACAUUAUGGGUGGGUGGGGUAUUGCGCAAUCGGCAUAUACGGCCAACCCUCCUUAUAAAUUUAACCCCGCUAGAUCUGCGGGUCUCGAACAAAUUUCACCAUCUUUCUUUUCCAAACAGAAAUUUUUUUGUUGACAAUUUAUCAACACCAUGUCAAAUUCUGAAACUGAUUGAUUUUGCAGUACACAAGGGCAUUUAAUUUCCAAGAACCCUUCCAAUCUCUUUCCUUGGAUCAUACACAAAGCCAUCUGGGCUUGCCUCGAUUCCAACACGUUCAGAAUUAAUCCAAAAGCCUGUCGAAGACACCUAAAAAAAUUUCACCUUUGACUCCAUUUUGCACUUGUACUCUUCAAACACAUUUUGCUCUUUUUCAGAUCCAUAUCUCAUUGAUUGAGUCUGGAUUUGACUAAACCAUAGUUUUGUCUUUGAAAUGUUAUACACAGAAUGUCUUGAGUGGGCAGAUGCAAUCUUUUUGUUUUCAGAAGCCGUUACUCUUACUCUUCUCUCAUUAAACCAUCGUCUGUGUUCUGCUUAUUUGUUCCUUCAUUUGCAGCAGCAGGAUCUGGGCAGCAAUGUUGUGUAAUAACUUUUUUUCGGCUAGCACUGAAGCACCAUCCUGAUGUUCAUAAUCACUAUACUCACGAAAAAGAAAUGUCUGCCACAUUGUUGGCUGCAAGCUCCCACAUUCAAGUGCAGAUAAGAAGGCUGUAAGGGCUUGUUCUCUUCAUCGGGGUUUAAGCAUGGGUGUUGAAUUGAGGCCAAUGAUGUUGUCUACCUUACUUUUUUGCACUGGAGUAGCUGGCAUUGCUUACACUAUGGGGAUCCUUUUUCCUUUUCCGACCUUUAUUCCAAUUACAGGGUUUAGAUGUGCAUGAAGCGGAAUCAGUACCAUAUUUUUCAAUAUAGUCCCUAAGGGCAAACAGAGGACCAGUUAUAUGUGCACACGGUCCCAUUGACCUAGCUGCACAUGUACAUGAGGCAUCCUUUACAAAUCCACUUUCAACAUUUAUCUGUACCAAUGUUUUGUAUUCAGUUUUUGUGUUAUAAUUACAUGA